CCUACCGCAUAUUGCAUCUUCUCGACCCGCAGCUGCGGAUCGCCGUUCGUUUUUGUUGCAGGUAACGGGUACGUUCGACUAUUGUUACGUCUGAUUCCUCCGCUUGCUACCGAUUAUAAAAACAGCCUUGAUACCAAAAGCGCCACGAUAGUUCGCUCGAGAUCAUUGUUCGUGGUGUUCAAGAACAUGCCGCGCAGAAAUCGCGAAUGUUACUUCUUACGUUAUUUGACCUCGACAUUCGAGCAGCGUAACGAAUACCUGCCUUUGAGACAUGAAUUGGAAGCCUAAAUAAUAUAUUUAACUUCAGCUUAUGCUUGACUUACGCAUUGAGGAGGACCAAAUCCAAAGCAAUCAAAUUUGCAGUUAAACUCACUUUUGGUGAGUCCAUUCCAA